rnacentral:rRNA from 1 species
CUGGGAGUGCUAUACUGCAGUCGAGCGGACCGACGGGAGCUUGCUCCCUUAGGUCAGCGGCGGACGGGUGAGUAACACGUGGGUAACCUGCCUGUGAGACUGGGAUAACUCCGGGAAACCGGGGCUAAUACCGGAUGCUUGAUUGAACCGCAUGGUUCAAUCAUAAAAGGUGGGUUUUAGCUACCACUUACAGAUGGACCCGCGGCGCAUUAACUAGUUGGUGAGGUAACGGCUCACCAAGGCGACGAUGCGUAGCCGACCUGAGAGGGUGAUCGGCCACACUGGGACUGAGACACGGCCCAGACUCCUACGGGAGGCAGCAGUAGGGAAUCUUCCGCAAUGGACGAAAGUCUGACGGAGCAACGCCGCGUGAGUGAUGAAGGGUUUCGGAUCGUAAAACUCUGGUGGUAGGGAAGAACAAGUACCGAUCGAAUAGGGCGGUACCUUGACGGUACCUAACCAGAAAGCCACGGCUAACUACGUGCCAGCAGCCGCGGUAAUACGUAGGUGGCAAGCGUUGUCCGGAAUUAUUGGGCGUAAAGCGCGCGCAGGCGGUUUCUUAAGUCUGAUGUGAAAGCCCCCGGCUCAACCGGGGAGGGUCAUUGGAAACUGGGGAACUUGAGUGCAGAAGAGGAGAGUGGAAUUCCACGUGUAGCGGUGAAAUGCGUAGAGAUGUGGAGGAACACCAGUGGCGAAGGCGACUCUCUGGUCUGUAACUGACGCUGAGGCGCGAAAGCGUGGGGAGCGAACAGGAUUAGAUACCCUGGUAGUCACGCCGUAACGAUGAGUGCUAAGUGUUAGAGGGUUCCGCCCUUUAUGCUGCAGUAACGCAUUAAGACUCCGCCUGGGGAGUCGGUCGCAGACUGAACUCAAGGAAUGACGGGGCCCGCACAGCGGGGAGAUGUGGUUAUUCGAGCACGCGAGAACUUACAGGUCUGACUCCCUG